rnacentral:siRNA from 1 species
AGGCCGUUCACAUUGUCU